GGUGGAUCACCUGAGGUCAGGAGUUUGAGACCAGCCUGGCCAACACGGUGAAAUCCCGUCUCUACUAAAAAUACAAAAAUUAGCCAGGCGCGGUGGCAGGCGCCUGUAAUUCCAGCCACUAAGGAGGCUGAGGCAGGAGAAUUGCUUGAACCUCGGAGGUGGAGGUUGGAGCAAGCCAAGAUCGUGCCACUGUACUCCAGCCUGGGUGACAGAGCGAGACUCCAUCUUGGAAACAAAACAAAAAAACAGAGAGUAAAUUAUGAAGUUAAAAGUGUUCUUGGCCGGGCGCAGUGGCUCACAUCUGUAAUCCCAGUACUUUGGGAGGCCAAGGCGGGCGGAUCACGAGUUCAGGAGUUCGAGAACAGCCUGACCAACAUGGUGAAACCCCAUCUCUACUAAAACUACAAAAAUUAGCCAGGCAUGGUGGCACUCACCUAUAAUCCCAGCUACUCAGGAGGCUGAGGCAGGAGAAUCGCUUGAACCCGGGAGGCAGAGGUUGCAGUGAGCCAAGAUCACACCACUGCACUACAACCUGGGUGACAGAGCGAGACUCCGUCACAAAAAAAGAAAGUGGCGUUCUCCUCCCUUUUCCUCAAUCCCAUCUUUCUGCAGUAGUCACCGGCAUAGGUUGCUCUCUACCAUCUUCUGGAUCGCUGCUCCUCCCCUGAUUUUCUCAGCUUCUUCAGAUGCUCCAGCUGCUUCUGAAUUUUCUUCUGGAAAAACAGCACUUGUUGAAAAGCUUGAAUUUGGCUCCUGCCAUCUUUAGCUGGUGCCAACUCUGGAGGGGAACAUCUCCUUCUGGUAGCAAGGCUGAGGGUGCUGCUGCCAGCGGCAUGGGGAGGGGUGCUCAGGAAAGAGGAGGGAGGAAUGGCUGAAUUGCCAAAGGCAGCAGAGCUGAGAGGCACUUCCUCUGAGCCUCUGGAUUCAGCCAUACCUGAAGCCAGCUCCCCCUGGAUCUCUGAGCAACAUAAACCUGUAGCUCCCCUC
rnacentral:lncRNA from 1 species